rnacentral:rRNA from 1 species
UAUUGCACAAUGGGGGAAACCCUGAUGCAGCGACGCCGCGUGAAGGAAGAAGUAUUUCGGUAUGUAAACUUCUAUCAGCAGGGAAGAANNUGACAGUACCUGACUAAGAAGCCCCGGCUAACUACGUGCCAGCAGCCGCGGUAAUACGUAGGGGGCAAGCGUUAUCCGGAUUUACUGGGUGUAAAGGGAGCGUAGGCGGCGAUGCAAGUCAGAAGUGAAAGCCCGGGGCUCAACUCCGGGACUGCUUUUGAAACUGUGUUGCUAGAUUGCAGGAGAGGUAAGUGGAAUUCCUAGUGUAGCGGUGAAAUGCGUAGAUAUUAGGAGGAACACCAGUGGCGAAGGCGGCUUACUGGACUGUAAAUGACGCUGAGGCUCGAAAGCGUGGGGAGCAAACAG